rnacentral:tRNA from 1 species
GGGGAUGUGGCUCAGUUAUAAAUUACUUGCCUAGCAAGCAGGAGGCCCUGGGUUCAAUCCCCAGCACCACCA